GUUUUGAAUUAUUUGUUAACAAGCGUGAAGUAUGUCAUACCAGCUAAGGAUUUCUAUUUAGUUCUUUAUUAUUGUUAUUUUUUUAAAAUAGUGAUUUUCUAAGGAUUAUGUAUAUAUAUACUUAUAUUUAUAUUUUUUCCUUGCAUGCCAUCUAUGUUCUGUACGUAGGUUUGCAAUGCAUACACGGAGUUGAAUGAUCCUGUGGUACAACGCCAAUGGUUUGCUGACCAACUCAAGGACCGACAAUCAGGUGAUGAUGAAGCAAUGGCUUUGGAUGAAACAUUUUGCACAGCUCUCGAGUAUGGUUUUCCCCCAACUGGUGGUUGGGGACUGGGUAUUGACCGACUAACAAUGAUGAUGACAGAUUCGCAGAACAUCAAGGAAGUUCUACUCUUUCCGGCCAUGAAACCUCAGGAUGAACCUUUUGCUAAAGAACACAUCCAAACAGCUUCUGGCUUGGGUCCAGUAUAGGUUUUCAAUCUGCCAAUAUGCAUGCAAAUCUGCCUAUAGAAG